CAAAACAAUGAAAAUUGUUUGCGUGCGAUGUCAAUUAUUAUUUGUUCGAGUGUUUAAUCCAAAAAAUACACAAUGAAAUCGCCUCAUUUGCUAAAUUCAACAUUUGUUUGAAACUUUCUAAAUAGAUGCAGAUCGUGUGAGAAAACGCCAUUACAAUUUUACCAGUUUCGAGUGAUGUUUAAAGUUGGCGAUUUUCAGCCACUCACCCCACAAUAAAUCUUUAAUUACCGAAACCAUUUGCCUUGUAAAACUUUAAUAUGCGAAAGGAAGAAUGGGGACAUAUUUACCAGCAGAGACUCUGACAAAGGGGGAAAUUUGCAUACUUGAUAACGACAAAAUUGACAAGUUGGGACUAAUUUGUAUGGGAACAUUGCUGUUGUUUUAAUGGCUAUAACAACUACGAAAGCGCAUUUGGUUAGCGGGGCUUUCUGUUUGCAAAUCCUGAACAACUAAUCGAAUUUAUUUUACAAACACUGAUAGCUUGUUGAAAAUGCAAUCCGAAAAACAAAUACAAUAUUAGACGAA